rnacentral:rRNA from 1 species
AGAGUUUGAUCCUGGCUCAGAUUGAACGCUGGCGGCAGGCCUAACACAUGCAAGUCGAACGGUAACAGGAAGAAGCUUGCUUCUUUGCUGACGAGUGGCGGACGGGUGAGUAAUGUCUGGGAAACUGCCUGAUGGAGGGGGAUAACUACUGGAAACGGUAGCUAAUACCGCAUAACGUCGCAAGACCAAAGAGGGGGACCUUCGGGCCUCUUGCCAUCGGAUGUGCCCAGAUGGGAUUAGCUAGUAGGUGGGGUAACGGCUCACCUAGGCGACGAUCCCUAGCUGGUCUGAGAGGAUGACCAGCCACACUGGAACUGAGACACGGUCCAGACUCCUACGGGAGGCAGCAGUGGGGAAUAUUGCACAAUGGGCGCAAGCCUGAUGCAGCCAUGCCGCGUGUAUGAAGAAGGCCUUCGGGUUGUAAAGUACUUUCAGCGGGGAGGAAGGGAGUAAAGUUAAUACCUUUGCUCAUUGACGUUACCCGCAGAAGAAGCACCGGCUAACUCCGUGCCAGCAGCCGCGGUAAUACGGAGGGUGCAAGCGUUAAUCGGAAUUACUGGGCGUAAAGCGCACGCAGGCGGUUUGUUAAGUCAGAUGUGAAAUCCCCGGGCUCAACCUGGGAACUGCAUCUGAUACUGGCAAGCUUGAGUCUCGUAGAGGGGGGUAGAAUUCCAGGUGUAGCGGUGAAAUGCGUAGAGAUCUGGAGGAAUACCGGUGGCGAAGGCGGCCCCCUGGACGAAGACUGACGCUCAGGUGCGAAAGCGUGGGGAGCAAAAAGGAUUAGAUACCCUGGUAGUCCACGCCGUAAACGAUGUCGACUUGGAGGUUGUGCCCUUGAGGCGUGGCUUCCGGAGCUAACGCGUUAAGUCGACCGCCUGGGGAGUACGGCCGCAAGGUUAAAACUCAAAUGAAUUGACGGGGGCCCGCACAAGCGGUGGAGCAUGUGGUUUAAUUCGAUGCAACGCGAAGAACCUUACCUGGUCUUGACAUCCACGGAAGUUUUCAGAGAUGAGAAUGUGCCUUCGGGAACCGUGAGACAGGUGCUGCAUGGCUGUCGUCAGCUCGUGUUGUGAAAUGUUGGGUUAAGUCCCGCAACGAGCGCAACCCUUAUCCUUUGUUGCCAGCGGUCCGGCCGGGAACUCAAAGGAGACUGCCAGUGAUAAACUGGAGGAAGGUGGGGAUGACGUCAAGUCAUCAUGGCCCUUACGACCAGGGCUACACACGUGCUACAAUGGCGCAUACAAAGAGAAGCGACCUCGCGAGAGCAAGCGGACCUCAUAAAGUGCGUCGUAGUCCGGAUUGGAGUCUGCAACUCGACUCCAUGGAGUCGGAAUCGCUAGUAAUCGUGGAUCAGAAUGCCACGGUGAAUACGUUCCCGGGCCUUGCACACACCGCCCGUCA